rnacentral:rRNA from 1 species
UACGUAGGUGGCAAGCGUUGUUCGGAUUUACUGGGCGUAAAGGGCGCGUAGGCGGCCACCGCAAGUCGGUUGUGAAAUCUCCGGGCUUAACCCGGAAAGGUCAAUCGAUACUGCGGGGCUAGAGUCCGGAAGAGGCGAGUGGAACUCCUGGUGUAGCGGUGGAAUGCGCAGAUAUCAGGAAGAACACCAACGGCGAAGGCAGCUCGCUGGGACGGUACUGACGCUGAGGCGCGAAAGCGUGGGGAGCGAACAGG